rnacentral:rRNA from 1 species
UUGGAACGGGAGGGGGGACGCCUAGUACCUGCGUCUCGGUCGGCAGUAUUCUCUACCUUGCUAGAUUGAUGGCGAGUGGCGAACGGGUGAGUAAUACAUCGGAACGUGCCCUGUAGUGGGGGAUAACUAGUCGAAAGAUUAGCUAAUACCGCAUACGACCUGAGGGUGAAAGUGGGGGACCGCAAGGCCUCUUGCUAUAGGAGCGGCCGAUGUCUGAUUAGCUAGUUGGUGAGGUAAAGGCUCACCAAGGCGACGAUCAGUAGCUGGUCUGAGAGGACGAUCAGCCACACUGGGACUGAGACACGGCCCAGACUCCUACGGGAGGCAGCAGUGGGGAAUUUUGGACAAUGGGCGAAAGCCUGAUCCAGCAGUGCCGCGUGUGUGAAGAAGGCCUUCGGGUUGUAAAGCACUUUUGUCCGGAAAGAAAUGGCUCUGGUUAAUACCUGGGGUCGAUGACGGUACCGGAAGAAUAGGGACCGGCUAACUACGUGCCAGCAGCCGCGGUAAUACGUAGGGGUCCAAGCGUUAAUCGGAAUUACUGGGGCGUAAAGCGUGCGCAGGCGGUUGUGCAAGACCGAUGUGAAAUCCCCCGAGCUUAACUUGGGAAUUGCAUUGGUGACUUGCACGGCUAGAGUGUGCCAGAGGGGGGUAGAAU